CUCGCGGGUGGUGCGAUGAGGAGGAGGAGGAGAAGAAGAAGAAGGAGCGAGUGGGAGUCAGACGACGUCCCGUACGUCCAGAAAGCGCCGGCGCGGUCACGUCGGCAGCCGAGUGGGCGAUACAGGAUUCAGGAUCGUGCAAGUCUCUCCCAGUUUCAUUCCAACACACAAACGCGCGCAUCAUCAAUGUGUCCCGACUUGAUCCCUGCGCGAUUAGCGCAAACGCGAACGUGUGAAGAGGAGGCUCGUCCCUGGAGCCCAUCGAAACAACCUGUUGAUCUGGAUGUCAACAAAGGAAUACAUGUUUUCUCCGUGACCCCCCCUCUUUCAACCUGUCCCCUGCAGACAUAUGGUAAUGCACAGGUGGAUGGGUGUCGAUCGUGGAGAAGGGAGAACAACCACCUGGACGAAAAAUAAUAAAUAAAGACAGAGAAAGAGAGAGAGAAACCCAUCAGACUUUCGUUUGACAUUGAGACAUUUAUCGGUUCAUGUCUGUCCACAAGCUUAAAAAAAAAACCACAUUGGACAUUAUUUUACCAUCCUCAUACUUCAAAUGCGUCAUGACAGUUCAUAAUUUGAUAAGGCCGUUUGAACUAAUGACACGUCAGAGAAGUGCUGCUUGGUUCAGCGCCUCAGACACCUCCAGCUAUGACACUGACUAAAUAAAACAUAUACACUUUUAAUGCAUUCAAAAUGAUUAGGGUCUCUAUACUUCCUCUAUUGAAGUCUGAAAAACGGUUUGUUCUGGGGAGAGUUCGAGCCCCCUGGGGUUUAACUGACAUAAUUCACCAUAACAGAUAAUUGACUAUAAUUUAAUGUGUCUGUGUGACUUGUUUUUGUGAGGAUAUUGUUCCUAUAACUCCUCAAAUAAAUCAUUAUUUGGGCUUUGUAACAGAGCAUGUGGA